rnacentral:rRNA from 1 species
UACGUAGGGAGCCAGCGUUGUCCGGAAUCAUUGGGCGUAAAGCGCGCGUAGGCGGCCCGGUAAGUCCGCUCUGAAAGUCCAGGGCUCAACCCUGGAAAGCGGGUGGAUACUGCCGGGCUAGAGUCCGGAAGAGGCGAGUGGAAUUCCUGGUGUAGCGGUGAAAUGCGCAGAUAUCGGGAAGAACACCCGUGGCGAAGGCGGUUCUCUGGGACGGUACUGACGCUGAGACGCGAAAGCGUGGGGAGCGAACAGG